UCGACGCAGCCUUGCCGAGAGGCCAAACAAUGUGCAGCAUGAAGUCGAGCUGGUAGCGUCGCCGCCGUUUCUACCGUAUCUCACUUUUCUGUACAUACAUACACAGAUGUAUAGAUAAACAACACAUUAGAUGCAAAAGUUUAAUAAUACACGGAAAAAAAACUCGAUUAUUUGAAACUAUUGUUAAUAUUGUCAUCAUUGUAAUCGCAGUGCGAAAAUCGGUUAUUGAUUUCUAUCUUUUUUUUUACUUUUUUUUUUUUUUUGAACACUUCCGGUAGAACAACGUUUUACAAAGUGCCGCAGCCUCCGCGUUGUUAUAUUCACUUUAUAUAUCUACCUGGUUCGUGAUUGCCGCGCGCGUUCACGUGUUCCUGCUGCAUUUGUUGUCGUUGUUGUUACUGAAGCGAACCGUUGAUAAAGUUGCGUGUAUUGACUUGCUAGUAAAUCGAUUCGCGUGCCUUAACGUUGCUUUGCGAUAUCAGCAACAAGAACAACAAACAAAACGGACUAUAUUCCUUCCUGAGUGUGACUGCAGUUGUUUUUGUCGCGUUACCGUUUUGAGUGUAGUAUAGAAUAAUAUUAACUCCCGUAGUAUUGUCGAUAAUUUUUGCACCCUUUUGCUUUCAUUCGACUGUUUUAUUUUUAUUUCAUAUUUUUUUACGUACCGUUUGCCAGUAUAUUUGUUGUUCGGUUGUGGUGUCGGUUGUACUAGAAAAAAUAAGAUAAGAAGGGUCGUGCCUUGGCUAGAUAAAUCGCUGUAGUAGAUAUCUACCGCCAUCCCUUGCACACAUAUAGAGACAAGUUUGAAGGUGCCGAGUGAGCGCGUGCCGGUUUCUACGUACAGCGAUAUCAGCCUUGUUAAGGGAAGAUUGACGGUAUUAAGAAUUAUCCAGGCAUCGAUCCUGAGUAGUGACGGCGCAAGGGUUCCGUCGAUUCGAAUUGCAUGGAUUUUGUAUUGUAAUCGCGCCGCGCCGAGACGCCAUGGACGUCCAUGCCGGAGGGUGCAGCAGCUCGUCGACGACCGGCGAAGAGACACUCCGCGGCGUCGCGACGCCUUCCCCGGCACCGGCGUGCACCGCGACGCCGACCCCCGCGUCCGUCGCCGCGACGAGCGCGUCGGUAUCAAUCAACAAUGCGGUGUCCAGCCCGUCGGUGCAAUCCCAGCUGCCCCAGUCCAGCACCCACCAGUCACCAUCGGGGCCGAGGAUACUGAGCAGAAAUGUAAAUGGCACUCUCGUGCAGACUUCCGUGCCGCAGAACGAGGCCGAACUUCAGUUGUACCGCGUCAUGCAGCGUGCUUCUCUCCUUGGAUACUACGACACACUGUUAGAGAUGGGAGGUGAUGACGUCCAGCAAUUGUGCGAUGCUGGAGAAGAAGAAUUUCUAGAAAUUAUGGCACUUGUGGGGAUGGCCAGCAAGCCACUUCACGUCAGAAGACUGCAGAAGGCUCUCCAAGAGUGGCUGACCAAUCCCUCAAUGUUUCAAACGCCGGUAAUACCCUCGAAUCCUAACAGCAAAUCUAAUAUACCGAUGACUUUUCCGUGCAUAAGUCCGAGAGCGCAGUUCCCUGCCCAUAGUCAAACGCAAUCCUCGUACAACGGGCCGCUUUUACCACUCACACCUUUGCCGUGUCGAAGCUCCAGUCCGGUUGUUCAACCUCCCAGUGCCAACACGUCGACGGCUUCGACGACCUUUCGACACACACCGAGCCCAAGUGCUUCCGUAUCAUAUCCGAGUGCCCAAAGUCCUGGGGUCUUACAGGUAGGAACUUGCGAGUCCUCUUGUGGAAGCGGCACGACGUCGAGUCCUGGGGGUGCGAGUGGUGCUCCCGGUAGUCCAACUCAGCCCGUUCCCGCGCUUCUCCAAUCCCAGGUUCAACGAUUGUCGGAUGCAGCUGAACGACUGGCAGUUAGUUUGCCACCGCUCGACCCGAAGCCACACAACAUCAAGAAGAAGAUCUGUAAAAACCUCGAGAUGGUAAUGGCGAUGUCGGAAAAUGACCCUCGUCGUAUGGAUGAAAUCCGAAAAUACGCGGCGAUAUACGGAAGGUUCGAUUGCAAGCGUAAACCGGAGAAACCUUUGACGCUACACGAAGUUUCGGUCAACGAGGCAGCAGCCCAGAUCUGUAAAUUUGUACCUGCGCUUCUCACAAGAAGAGACGAACUUUUUCCACUUGCCCGUCAAGUCGUUAGGGAUUCUGGAUACCAUUACUCAAAGAGUCAAUACAUCUCGAUGAUGAGACCGCGAGAGAACGGCGAGGACGCGGGUGACGGUGACAGGGUGAAACGGUAUCGUCUCGAUCUAGAGGGUGAGAGUGAGGAUUCCACGCAGGUUUACACGCUAAGGGUAGACGGAAAAAAUUCAACCACGUCCUGCAUUUUAACGCCGCCGAAGGCGGAACAUCAACAGGAAAGCAGCUGUAACAAGUACGGAAAUGGGAUUUACGGAUUCCGUGAUAAUUUACGUCAGUCUUGGCUCGUUGACGAGUGAAAAACCUGGAAUAGCAAGACACGUGGACGCAACUGGGAUGCGGCAAUGCUUUCCCGCAGAAUGAUAGUAAAAGUAAUGAUUGCGAGGAACGUCCGUCUCGGGCAUAAGGAAUCUUAUUAAAGGAUUAACCGUUUUCUGGGCGAAUCGUACACAGAAUACAUGCUGAUCAUGUCUUAACGCAGCCUCAAGAUACGCACAAGGAUCGUCGAAAACAGAAUUCAGUCGUGCCUGAUACCUCUCAGGUGAAGCCAGAAUUUCAAAUUCUACGUAGAGUCCAGAAUUCUACCUGAGAAUGUGUCAGCGAUUGGAUUGCCCCGCAAACCGCCUUUGCAAGUCAUGCAAUCCCAAUUCUUAGCAACUCAUGGAUCGGCGAGGCUUCGGGUUUUUGGAUAGUGAUACUCAAACAACAGUGGUUAUAAUGUCACAAUUUGAUUGCCACAGAUAAUUGUGUUUACCACUUGAAGAAGAACUACCGGGCCUAGACGUUCUGCAUCAUGUACCUCUUCGAACAAGUAAUUACGGACAAUUUAAUGUAGUUUUACACACGAAUGAUUUUAUCUCUCUAUUUACGCUAUGUAAAACGAAUAACCAACGAUGUCACCGUCUUCGGUAUUUCAAUUGCAGAUCUUUUUCCCUCAAUUUCAAAUCCAACUGCCCGGCAACGUUUCACAAUGGUCAUUCGACAAAACAAACCAUUCGAAUAUGACUACGGUAGCAAAAAUUCGAGGAAAGUUUUACGUGAAUUGAGAACUGACUUUUCAUCUAUAGUCUGUAGUUAUUCAACGUAAGCGAAGAGGUUCAUCUAUUGAUUCGACAUCACGCUUUACAAUUAACCGAUAUUGACUUUAUUUUUAUAUCUGACGAUAGUACUCAUGUUUUCAUGUGACAUGAAAAUACUCGAUUUUGAAUUAUAAAUAUUUAAAAUGUGCAUCAUUUUGUCGAUCAUAUUAAAUCCGUUUUGUUACUAUAAUCUUGUUAUUGUUACCAUUGCUGUAACUGUUGAAAUAAUAUAUCAGUUGCAUAAACAACAAUAACUUGUUUGUUAUUUGGCGAACCUUCAGGUAUUAUAUCAUGGACCGUUCGGCUUGCAGCAGACAAUAACAUACGUGUAGAUAUGUACAAUCGAGGACUCGUAUAUAUCAGGAGCCUUUUUCGAGGUAAUUUUUUGUUGGUCACUUUUUCGUAUUCCUCUUUUUGUCCGUACUUUCUGCACGACAAACGGAAACUUUUUUACGAUACACGAACGAUUCGGUUUUUGUCCUGUUUGUCUCAAUCUAUCUUCCAUGACAAGACUGGAGAUAUAGCGCGAGGAUACUGAUCUUUUUUUUUCAUCGCAAUAUCUUUCCAUCUGCAUUGCAAUCGACUAGGACUAGAACCAAUAGUGGGUCACAUUACUUAGGCUUGUUUUCUUUGAUACCCGUUGACGCAACAAUUGUUUCACCUAUUUUUAUUUUACUUUUCCCUUUCUCUACAGUUUAUCCGACUCCAAUUCUCUCCCGAAUUAUUGGAUUCGAGGUACCAAACUACGGGGCGUAACUCGUCUUCAAAAAUAUAGUGGCGUCAACAAUCUUUCCACGGGAACCAGUCAAAAUAUGUAUCGGCAUCGUGACCGUAGACUCAGGCUUUCUGAAACUCGUUUAGUUUACAACUAAUCGGCGACCGGUACUUACAGUCUUUACAUCUAUUCGCACACCGAAUAGGUGGCCAUUUUUUUGCAGGAAAAGAAAUUCUGCGACUAUUAUGCAGAGGAAGUUUUGGUAGGAAUUAAAUUUUAGUUUUAACUAGCUUUAAAACCCUCGCUCGCUAAAGUUCGCUCGGGGUCGGAUACCUAUAGUGUAGCUGGAUUUAGCGCUCAUGGGCUCGCUUACUCGUUGUCAGUGUUUCAGAUGAUACGAGAUUUACCAGAUACCUCACACCCUCGCUGCUUGAGGAUUGUUCAAUGGGUAAUAAGUGUUAAUCCGCUAGUCCGUGAAGUCGAGUUUCGUUAUUUAGCGGACCUCGAGUGCAGUAACUACGGAGCGCUAGUCCUGGAGGUCGAAAUCAACAAGGUAAAAGACCUGGACAGCCAAAACUACGGAGCGCUUGUCCUAGAGGUCGAGUUUCACCAGGUAGCGGACCUGGAGCGCAGAAACCAC
rnacentral:misc_RNA from 1 species